AUUGAACGCUGGCGGCAUGCCUUACACAUGCAAGUCGAACGGCAGCACGGGUGCUUGCACCUGGUGGCGAGUGGCGAACGGGUGAGUAAUACAUCGGAACAUGUCCUGUAGUGGGGGAUAGCCCGGCGAAAGCCGGAUUAAUACCGCAUACGAUCCACGGAUGAAAGCGGGGGACCUUCGGGCCUCGCGCUAUAGGGUUGGCCGAUGGCUGAUUAGCUAGUUGGUGGGGUAAAGGCCUACCAAGGCGACGAUCAGUAGCUGGUCUGAGAGGACGACCAGCCACACUGGGACUGAGACACGGCCCAGACUCCUACGGGAGGCAGCAGUGGGGAAUUUUGGACAAUGGGCGAAAGCCUGACCCAGCAAUGCCGCGUGUGUGAAGAAGGCCUUCGGGUUGUAAAGCACUUUUGUCCGGAAAGAAAUCCUUGGCUCUAAUACAGUCGGGGGAUGACGGUACCGGAAGAAUAAGCACCGGCUAACUACGUG
rnacentral:rRNA from 1 species